rnacentral:rRNA from 1 species
UACGAAGGGUGCAAGCGUUACUCGGAAUUACUGGGCGUAAAGCGUGCGUAGGUGGUUUGUUAAGUCUGAUGUGAAAGCCCUGGGCUCAACCUGGGAAUUGCAUUGGAUACUGGCAGGCUAGAGUGCGGUAGAGGGUAGUGGAAUUCCCGGUGUAGCAGUGAAAUGCGUAGAGAUCGGGAGGAACACCCAUAGCGAAGGCAGCUUGCUGGGACGUUACUGACGCUAAGGCGCGAAAGCGUGGGGAGCGAACAGG